CGUAGUCGAACGGGGCACCAGCAGCAGCGUCGGCCUCGUAGUCUACUGGAGAGAAGAGGGGGAAGAAACAAUGAAUACAAUGCAAACAUAUGCAUAACGAUGCAUGACAAAGCAAACAACGGUGUUAGACGUACCCUAACGCGGUACUAGGUGAUACCAAAAAAGGGGGGAAACAUCCGGGAAAGUAUCCCUAGUGUUUCGCGUUUUCGGACAGAUGAACCGAAGGGGAAAAGUUGUGUGUUCGCUAUGCUAGGAAUGUGUGGCGGACAAACGGGAUGCGUAUUCGGAUUCAUCUCGUCGUUCUGAGCAACUUUCAUGUAUAAAUUAUUUUCAUCCGAGUUACAUAUUAUUUUAUAUGAUUUUUCAAAAUUUAUUUGAAUUUCUAAAAUUACUGGAUUAUAUUAAUUCGAAUUAAAAAGAGUAAAUACUCUUGUCACAUAGUGCAGUGCCAGCCAUAGUGUAUGACAGGUGGGGUCAGGUUCAAACUCAAUAGUCCAGUCAGCAGUUGACUGGUCAAACUGGCGGGUGGGACCUAGCUGUCAUAGAGACAGUGCAAAUUAAUAGUUCAAUUAAUUUAACAGAUUUGGUGAGGGGGCCGCAUGUCAUAGAGUCAGUUUUGAUUUAGAGUUAAUCUGCACAAUUUAUUUAGUGGGUGGGCCCCAUGUGGCAUAGGGUAGCAACUAAAUUAACUAGCACUAAUUAGUUCCUAAACUAAUCUACAGAGGGCCGGCCACACAUCCAGCCACGCGUGUGUUGCCAAGGCCAACACACAUGGGCGCAAAAUCACGGUGGCCAUGACCAUUAGCAGUAGUAAAGCAACAGCGUAGUAGCAGGAGUAAGCAGCAGUAGAGCAACUGCGCAAGAGCGGCAGCAGCGCAGCAAGCAGAGGCAUCAGGCGGCGGGCGGCUGCAGCACAAGAGCAGCAGGUACAGGCAGCGGGCGACAGCAGUAGCGCACGGGAGCAGCAGGAAGAGCAGCGCAGCAGCGAGCGGGAGCGCGUGGGCCAACGCGAGCGCGCGCGAAGGGGCGAGCACGCCAAGCGCGGAGCAGCAGCGGGCGUGGGGUAUCGGCGGCAGCAGCAACGACAGAAGGCGGGGGGCGCGGCCGUGGCGCGCACGUGCGUGCUCGCCGGCGACGCGGGACUGAUCUCCAGGCCGCCAAACAGAGCAGGGCGAGCUCCUACGGAACCAGCGCGAGGCGCCGCAUCGAUCCACGCAACGGGUGCGAGCUGAGGCCGACCAAAAUGACGACUACGACGAGCUGAUGCGGCGGCCGGAGCGGAUCUCGUGGAAGGGCGGCAAGAGAACGAGAACGACACCUAGAGGAAAGGGGGAUCGAGGCGGAGCUCACUGUGAUGCCUGGGGAAGGCUCGGGGUUAUCGGAGGCGCGCGGAUCGACGCAUCGAACGGCUGCGACCGAAGGUUGAAGAUGGAUCGAUCCCGUCGUUGCAGGGCUCCCCGGCGUCGUGUCGGUGUAGCAGGAGACGUAGACGGUGGAUGCGGUUCUUCUGGACACGGAGAUGCGGCGAACGAUGGCCGAUGGUCACGUGUACGGCGACGGCACGGCGAUGGCAGCGUCGGACUUGUGUGGGGGAGGAGGAGAACGACGCGAGGAAGGGGAAUGGACAUGCUAGG
rnacentral:lncRNA from 1 species